rnacentral:rRNA from 1 species
UACGUAGGGUCCGAGCGUUGUCCGGAAUUAUUGGGCGUAAAGGGCUCGUAGGCGGUUGGUCACGUCGGGAGUGAAAACUCAGGGCUCAACCCUGAGCGUGCUUCCGAUACGGGCCGACUAGAGGUAUGCAGGGGAGAACGGAAUUCCUGGUGUAGCGGUGGAAUGCGCAGAUAUCAGGAGGAACACCGGUGGCGAAGGCGGGUCUCUGGGCAGUAACUGACGCUGAGGAGCGAAAGCGUGGGGAGCGAACAGG